AGAGAGAGAGAGAGAGAGAGAGAGAGAGAGAGAGAGAGAGAGAGAGAGAGAGAGAGAGAGAUCAAGAAAAACAUACUAUUAAAUAGAAAGUGGGGAAGGAAGAGAAAAAAGAUGGAGAACAGCGCUAAAAGAAAGAGAUAUUAGGGGAGGGGAUCGUAUCUUUGCGUGUAAAUUAGGAGCGAUCUUCGCACUUAAAUAGAUACGUAUUUUUUGAAAAGAAGUGCAAAUAAUUUGUAGCCCUAAUGCGACAACAAAGAGAGAGAAAGAGAGAGAGAGAGAGAGAGAGAGAGAGAGAGAGAGAGAGAGAAAUAAAAUAAACAAAAGCGUGUAUUAAUUUUUUUUCGGGUGAGACGAGCCUUUGUGGCCUUUCGCCAUUUAAAUAUUAGUCGUACCAACCGCAUUUAUAAUAGACGAGAAUGUUAUAAAUCGUAGCAAUGAAAAAACGGAGACAAAAAAAAGCAUUAAUAAAAAGAAUAAAAGGGAGAAGAAGUUGAUAUGAAUGAAGGGAUGAGAUGAUGGGAUGGGGUUGUGAGAACGGGAGAUACUUUAAAAGAUAAGCAAAGUUUUCCAAAGGUAGCUGCAGGUACUUAAACAAGAAAGAUAAUUAAACAAAAAAAUAAAAUAAAAUAAAAUAAAAUAAAAUAAAAUAAAAUAAAAUAAAAUAAAAUAAAUAUGAACCGCUUUACACAGAGGCCGUUAAGCGAUAACACUUAAGAGUUUUUGUAACGUAUAUUUGUUAAGAGACUACUGUUUUGUCACUCACAAACACCCUAACAGUAUUUGGAUCGUUGUACGUCACUUUAUUACCGAAUAAACAAACGGGCGAUAUGGUGGGUGGUGUGUAGCGUGAAGGAUUUAAAAAAAGGUGAAAGAAAGAAAAAAAUGACGAUGAUUAAAUUAGCAGGAUAUGUAUGUAUAAACAAACAAGAAAAAAAAACAAACAAACAAACGAAAAGAAAAAAAAGAAAAUAAAUAAAAAAGGGAAUCGCAAUAACCCAGAAACGGCCAUGCACUGCAAAAAAAACAACGUACAUUUAUUAAGCUACGUAUUGUCGUUUAGCACAAAUCUGUUAAAAGUA